rnacentral:rRNA from 1 species
GCCAAUCUCAGUUCGGAUUGUAGGCUGCAACUCGCCUACAUGAAGUUGGAAUCGCUAGUAAUCGCGAAUCAGAAUGUCGCGGUGAAUACGUUCCCGGGUCUUGUACACACCGCCCGUCACACCACGAGAGUUUACAACACCCGAAGUCAGUGGCCUAACCGCAAGGGAGGGAGCUGCCUAAGGUGGGGUAGAUGAUUGGGGUGAAGUCGUAACAAGGUAUC